rnacentral:lncRNA from 1 species
UAUAAAUUUGGCCUUAACUCAAUCACCGCUCUAGAUUUAUCCGCCAUUCACUUUAUAACACCUCUCCGGAGACCGCACGAAUAUUGUGCUCUCUCUCUCUCUCACACACACACACACAUAACAGAGGAAGAGGCUAAAUAACAUGAAUUCAGGUAUGUCGCGGUGGGCCUCAAAUUUCCGGUGGAUAAAUUCCGGCUUCCCUAUCCCGGCUUCUUUCUUCCGGUGGCCGAGGCUCUUCGCCUCCUACUUGACGCCGCCGAGCUGGAGCAGUAGCAGUAGCAGUAGCCUAGGCCUUAAUCUGCGGCUUCCCGACGUCGAUGACGUGGUGUGGUCCGUCGUCUCCGCCGUAGAGUCCGUCGCACUCGUUUCCUUCCUCUGCUUCUUCUUCGUAUUCUGCGGCUGCACCAUAUGAUCGAUGCCGAUCAAUUAUGCUUCGCGGCGAAAUUUCGAGUGAGCAGUCUGUAUGUUUUCAGUUUUUGAUAUUGGAUCUGUUGCCGGAAGUUCUGAAGAUUUAAGGCGGCGCGUGAGAUUUGGUGGUUUUGAAUUUGAAUUUGAGAGGAAGCAGCCAAAUGGCGUCUUGCCGCUUUGAUGAUUUUGACUGCGAGAUGCUGAGGGUAGUUUUUGUCACUAGUUAUCUGAAUUUUUCACUUUUUUAUUUACAUAUUUUGUUUUUUCGUAUCUUGUUUUAUCUUUAGUUUAGUAGUACUUGUUUAGAAAUAAAUCUUUAAAGCUUUUACAUAUAAUUGUCAAGCUAGCAAUUAGUGGGAAAUAAAGAUAACUAUAUGCAAUUAGAAAAUAAAUGUAAUGUAACUAGCGAGAAUUAAAAAUAAUAAAUCUAUGUAGCCACAUUUUAAC